UUUUAAAAAAUCAUUUAUGCAAAUUGCCAUCAGUAUCCUCAACCAAACCAAGUGAGAACAUCAAACUCAGCUGCUAUUUUAAUAUAUUUAAGCAUAUUUAUUCUCUUUUAUCCUGAUAUUUUUCAUUUCAUCUCUUUAUACUCCACUUACUAUGUCUGAGAUGUUGCCUGUAUUUUAUCUGUGUUAUAUGUCUGGUGAGUCAAAGCAACAUUUCCACCCUGGUGGACAAUAAAGAUUUAUUCUAUUCUGUUCUAUUCUA